CCAUGAACACGCCUUCUAAUGCACGUGUUCGUAGUACUUUUAGUGAGUGAUCACUAGCAAGCAAGAGUAUCAGAUCAUUUAUAUCAUGGCAGUUUACAAUGCAUUCGAAACUGUUUUUGUGAUAUGAAACAGUCGUUGCUAGAAUAGGUACUGAAGAACUAUAAUGUCAAAAAAAUCGACACCUUUCCUCCCCACCCUUCUUGUUCCCUGCGUUCGUCCCAAAUACUAUGAACCUACCAAAACAUUUGUCGCCGGCCAUCCCCAGUCCGGGCCACCGUGGCCCCAGGCCCGACCACCGUCGUCAGGCUAGCCAUGGCCGAAAAAAGACCAGGCGAGCCUACCUCCCAUGCCUUCGCCCGAUCCUGCGCAAGCCCGGGCCAGCAGGGUGUCGGUGCCGCCGCUUGCAUCCCCCCGUACGCCCAGGCUGCGCACCGCCGCUUCCCUGUCGAACACACGCCACUAUGGUCCUUGCUCGCAUGGUGCGUCGCUAGGCUGCCUGCUCUGGCGUCGCUCCGGUCGGCCACCUGCUCCGGCGAGCGUCGUCAGGUGCCCGUCGAGCUCCUCCCAUCUUCUCCAAU
rnacentral:lncRNA from 1 species